ACAUAUAAGCUUAUUUAGCCUGCUCACUGUACUAUAAAGGGACGUUGUUUCCAUACACAUAUCCCCUUACUGUCAAUUGUUUCCUUCAUGUCCUUUGGCAAUUUCUAUGCGUCUCUCUGCAACAAAUGGUUGUACUUGGUAAAUAAUUCUUGUCAUUUUGUCACUAUGAAGUUUGAUUUAAUUGAUGUAUUUAGACUGAGCUUUCCUGUCUCCCUCUGCUCUCAUUCAUGAGUACAGACAAACACAUUUACAACACAUCUGAAAUUGCAGCUGAAGCACCAUGGACAUUAGUGCUGAGCAGUUUGACAGAGAGCUAAUCUACUCACAUUAGGUAGAUUGGUCUUAAUUGGAGCUUCCAGUCUGUCUCCUAUCAGGACCAACUGCAGCCAACCUCUGCACCAGCUACUGUAUAUAUGUCAUCAGCCUGGAGGAAAGGUACAUAGUGAGUGUGUUGAGGAUAUAUUUAGCCUAAUGUCUUCUCCUCUGCACGCAGCCUUCCUCUCUGCAUAUUCUGACAUCGCUCUGAGCAAUCUGCUGGGAACUAUUGGUCUCCCAGCAUGCAGUUGGGCAGCUACUCUCACAACCUCACUGAUGUUGCUGCUGACCGGCAGUUUAGCAUCGUACCGCAUCCCUAUUGGUCGAGUCAUGGCUCCUGAACACAACCUGUGCUCCCACAGCCAAUGGGAAGCUGGGGACACCGCAGACAGGGAGAGCACUGAUGUCUAACGCUAGGACACACA